rnacentral:lncRNA from 1 species
CUUCCACUGCUCCUGUGCUAGGAGGACAGGCACCAGUACCUGGUCCCCCACCAGACUGCGACCCCAGGGCAUUCCCCCAAAGGAAACCAGGGUGCAAUUAGGAAGGGGAAACAGUGUUAGGCCAGGGACCCCACAGCACCUCUUCCCUCCCAGCAUGGGCUCAGGCUGUCUGUGGUUCUGCCAGGACUGUUAGAACCUGGCCUGAGUCCAACCCCCCUUCCAGGAGGGACCUGCCCAGGGGUGGCAUGUGCUCAUGUCAGAUAAUCUCCUGCCCCUUCGCUCGCCGACACCUCCUUCCUUCUCCAAAGUGACACUCCCCCUUGCCCCUACCCCGGAGCCACCUGCCUUGAUCUCCCGGCCCAACUUGACUUCUUCCAACGGGGGCCUCUGGGCAAGGAAACCCAUCUGGGGCUGGACUGAAAUCACAGCUGCCCACAACCUCUGAACCCACAUGAAACGCAAGUCAGAUGCUCUCCUUGGAGCAAAGUGGCUAACAGUAGUGCACGUACCAGGAACCCUCAGCGUGAACCAGGCCCAGAAGCCUGUUUGCCUCCGAAUGGGUCCAUUUUUCACUUUCUAUUUUU